AUUCGGAGACGCAGGUAGGACGAAUAACAGAUGUUCGCCACCAAACCAGGAAGUGAAAACGUGGAGGACCAAAAAGGCGUAGAAAAAGCUCAGAGAGGAGAAACGUAAAUCUGUCGUUUGUUACCUACGCACAAGUGCAUCAGAUUUGAUAUCGGAAAUAUAACUCAGUUACACAAUGGAUUAUAUUAGUGCAAAUCCAACUGUGAUGGCUCAUAUGUACUGGUAGUGGGAGAUACAUAAUAUACAGGAGGAUAAGGAAUAGGAAGAAGAGGAGGAGAAGGAAGAAGGGCAGGAGGACAAGACGAAGAAAAGGAGAGAAACAACACAGCAGUCAGCAUCAGGAACGAGAGGUGUUCAAGAGUAUCAAUCCAAAGGAAGUGGUGUGCGCGUGUUCUGGUUGUCUCGCACCGACAUGGAAAAGCGCUUGCUGGUGACUGUGUGCGUGCUAAGUCUGCUCGUAGUGGGUCUCAUCACAGGCGUGGCGGUUCUGGCGGCGAAGG